UUGGGGGUAUUUUGGGGAUGAUUUUAGGGUGGUUUUAGGGUUAUUUUUGGGGUGAUUUCGGGGGUGUUUUUAGGGUGGUUUUGGGGUGUUUUGGGGCUGUUUUCGGGGUGGUUUUUUUUGCUGUUUUCGGGGUAUUUAGGGGAUGGUUUUGGGAUAUUUCUGAGGGUGUUUUAGGGUUAUUUUUGGGGCGAUUUGGGGCCGUUCCGGCGUCCCCACCUGCAGCAUGCGCGCGGCCACGGCCACGAUCUGCGGGAAGGCGACGAUGGAGUCGCGGAACCGCUCCUGGAGAUCGCACAGGAACAGAACCGAGGAGCCCACGCGGGGCCAGCCCAGGCGGGCGGCGGCCAUCGGCACACCUGGGACAGCCAAUCAGCGCCUCCCGCGGGACGCCCCACCGGCCAAUGGGAAGCGGAGGCGCCAGCGGGUCGCGCCCACCUUUCCAACUCCCCCGCUCUCAGCCAAUCCGGAGGCGCUGCUGAGCUCCCGGCCAAUCAGAGGCCGAAGGGGGCGGGGCUUGGCGUGAGGGGCAGCCGGGGCCGACCCCAAAAAACUCCGAAAUUGCCCCAAAAUUGGCCCGAAAUUGCCUCAAAAUCUGCCCCAAACCGGCCCCGAAUUCCCCAGAUAAUCCCGAAAUCCCGCGAAUCCGCCCCAAAUCACCCCAAAUCCGACAUUUCAUGCCAAAAUCUGCGUUACCGAAAGGGCCCGGCCGUUGCCGGUCCCGGAACCCCCAAAAUCUCCGUUAUUUACCUCAAAUAUCUGUUAUUGACUCCUAAAUCUCCGUUAUUCGCCCCAAAUCUCAGUUAUGGACCCCUAAAUCUCAAUUUUUACCCCAAAAUCUGCGUUACCGGAACGGCCCGGCCGUUACCGGACACGGAACCCCGAAAAUCUCCGUUAUUGGCCCCAAAAUCGCCGUUACCGGCGGUUCCUCGACCGUUACCGACCCCUAAACCCCCCAAACCACCCCUAAAACCCCCCGGAACCCAAAUAAUCUCAGAUAUUCGUCUCAAAAUCUCAAUUUUCAACUCU
rnacentral:lncRNA from 1 species